rnacentral:rRNA from 1 species
GGUUCGAUCAUGGCUCAGAUUGAACGCUAAGGGAUGCUUUACACAUGCAAGUCGAACGGCAGCACGACUUCGGUCUGGUGGCGAGUGCAAGAACGGGUGAGUAAUGUAUCGGAACGUGCCGUAGUAGCGGGGAUAACUACGCGAAAGUUAGUAGCUAAUACCGCAUACGCCCUUCGGGGAAAGCGGGGACCUUCGGGCCCUUGCACCAGAUGGGCCGAUAUCGGAUUAGCUAGUUGCGGGUAACGGCUCACCACACGAUCCGCAGCUGGUUUGAGAGGAGACCAGCCACACUGGACCGAGAUACGGCCCAGACUCCUACGGGAGGCAGCAGUGGGGAAUUUUGGACAAUGGGGGAAACCCUGAUCCAGCCAUCCCGCGUGUGCGAUGAAGGCCUUCGGGUUGUAAGCACCUUUGGCAGGAAGAAACGGCACGGGAUAACACUCCCGUGCAACUGACGGUACCUGCAGAAUAAGCACCGGCUAACUACGUGCCAGCAGCCGCGGUAAUACGUAGGGCAAGCGUUAAUCGGAAUUACUGGGCGUAAAAGCGUGCGCAGGCGGUUCGGAAAGAAAGAUGCGAAAUCCCCAGAGCUUAACUUUGGAACUGCAUUUUUAACUACUGAGCUAGAGUGUCAGAGUGGAGGGAAUUCAUGCGUGGCAGUGAAAUGCGUAGAUAUGCGGAGGAACACCGAUGGCGAAGGCAGCUUCCUGGGAUAACACUGACGCUCAUGCACGAAAGCGUGGGGAGCAAACAGGAUUAGAUACCCCGGUAGUCCACGCCCUAAACGAUGUCAACUAGCUGUUGGGGCCUUCGGGCCUUGGUAGCGCAGCUAACGCGUGAAGUUGACCGCCUGGGGAGUACGGUCGCAAGAUUGGAAACUCAAAGGAAUGAGUUGGACUGCACAAGCGGUGGAUGAUGUGGAUUAAUUCGAUGCGUAACGAAAACCUUACCUACCCUUGACAUGUCUGGAAUCCUGAAGAGAUCGGGAGCGUUUGCAAGAGAACUGGAACACAGGUGCUGAUGGCUGUCGUCAGCUCGUGUCGUGAGAUGUUGGGUUAGUCCCGCAACGAGCGCAACCCUUGUCAUCAUUAGUUGUUACGAAAGGGCACUCUAAUGAGACUGCCGGUGACAAACCGGAGGAAGGUGGGGAUGACGUCAAGUCCUCAUGGCCCUGCGGGUAGGCUUCAAUAUGUCAUACAAUGGUCGGGACAGAGGGUCGCCAACCCGCGAGGGGGAGCCAAUCCCAGAAACCCGAUCGUAGGUCCGACUGCAGUCUGCAACUCGGACUGCGUGAAGUCGGAAUCGCUAGGCAAUCGCGGAUCAGCAUGUCGCGGUGAAUACGUUCCCGGGUCUUGUACACACCGCCCGUCACAACGCGGAGUGGGUUUUACUGGUGAAGUAGUUAGCCCAACUGUAAGGAGGGCGAUUACCACGGUAGGAUUCAUGACUGGGGUGAAGUCGUAACGUUGCAA